CCGGACCAGAGUGGGGCGCCGCAGCCGCCUGUUACACCUGUGGGCAGCGCGGCCUCUCCCGGAUGUGACGUAGCGUGACGCCUGCAGGACGGAUGCUGUGAUGACGAGGUGGCAGCGCUGGUUCCUGUAGCUGAGGGCUGUUGGGCUCCAAGAAAGCAAUGACGAUUCGCGAUUUCUUCUUUCUCACGUAUGCCAUUCUCUGUUCGGUUGCCAAGGAAGUGGAAAACAUUGGUUUUGCUUAUCUAAAAAGGCUCAAACACAAUGACUGACAGGCCAGCCUGCUACUCAUAGGAGGUCUGACUGCAGAACAUGAGAAGAACAGAUGCCAGCAGGCUUCCAAGUGAAAGGAACACCAUUUUCACUUCAAUUAUGUAUCCCUGGUUGAAUGUAUAACAUCAUCAAAAAUCAC
rnacentral:lncRNA from 1 species